UACGAAGGGGGCUAGCGUUGUUCGGAAUUACUGGGCGUAAAGGGCGUGUAGGCGGUCCGCUAAGUCAGGUGUGAAAGGCCUGGGCUCAACCCAGGAAGUGCGCCUGAGACUGACGGACUUGAGUCCGGGAGAGGAUGGUGGAACUCCCAGUGUAGAGGUGAAAUUCGUAGAUAUUGGGAAGAACACCCGUGGCGAAGGCGGCCAUCUGGACCGGUACUGACGCUAAGGCGCGACAGCGUGGGGAGCAAACAGG
rnacentral:rRNA from 1 species